rnacentral:lncRNA from 1 species
CCAGACCAAACCAAUGCAGACCAAACCAAUGCAGAACUCCUAUGUGCUGAUGGUGGUCUUACAUUUCCCUAAGUUUCUGCCGACUAAACUGUGCACACGUUCUCAGGACCUCCUGAAGCUGCGUCACAGGCACUAAUCAAAGAACACAACCAAGAGUUUGGCCUUUUCUUCAGCACUGGGAAUUGUGAUCCAAAGCUUUUCCUGAUGAAGCACAAAGUUGGAGAAAAAAAAGCAAACUAAACAACAACAAUGAAACAGAACAGAGUUAAUCUGCUGUAGCUCAAGAGAGGAUGUACCUGCCCCCACCCCGCAUCCCUGGGCUCGGGUUUGCCUUGCUGACCUCUGCUGCCACCUGGUGCCACACAGAGAAACUGAGGAGAAACCACAUCAGUCUCCUUCAGCCUCAGCUUCACAUCUGUGGGUCAAGUAACCCUUUCAGAAGCUGAAUAAUGUGGGAAAGCUUUCCUCUCAGGAAAAUGCACACAUCCAACUUUGAGAAGAUGCCCUUGGGGGUGCUUCAAGGAUCCUAGAUAAAGAACCCCCUUUCCCGAACAUCCAAGAACCUAAGUUUUUUUUUUUUUUUUUGAGAAAGUCUCGCUCUCUCUCCCAGUCUGGAGUGCAGUGGCGUGAUCUUGGCUCACUGCAAGCUCCACCUCCCAGGUUCACGCCAUUCUCCUGCCUCAGCCUCCCGAGUAGCUGGGGCUACAGGCACCUGCCACCAAACCCGGCUAAUUUUUUUGUAUUUUUAGUAGAGACGGGGUUUCACCGUGUUAGCCAGGAUCGUCUUGAUCUCCUGACCUUGUGAUCCACCCGCCUCGGCCUCCCAAAUUGCUGGGAUUACAGAUGUGAGCCACCGCACCUGGUCCAAGAACCCAAGUUUUAGAUCUAGAGUGAUGUCAGCAUGACAUUGAUUUCCUGAGGCCCAGGGUCGAAGGAGCUGAGGACAGCAGAGGGGUGAAGGAACUCAGCUACAGACAGCAGCAGCUGAUGCACAGGGCUCCCAGCGCCUGAAGUCACCCGGAAUUGGGAAGUGCUCAGAAGCUUACAAAGCUGCCUCGAGGUGGGAACAUGACAUAAAUCCAAGAGCAGAUCCCUGAUCCUAUAAAAAUGUACUAGAUGCAGUGGGGGCAUUUUAAAUGAGCAGAGAAGGACAGACAGAUAAACAGAAGGACAAACAGUAUUGGGAUUGGGAUAAAUGCUCAGCUUUUGCCCAAAUCUUAGUGACUUAAGCAUCACUUAUUUGCUCACGAUUCUGUGGCUGGACCAUUUGGUUUGGCUCACAGGGCAGGGACUGUGCUGGUCUUACCUGAGCAGACCUGCAUGUCUGCGGUCAACUGGGUUGGCAGAGACAGAGUGACUGUCUUCCUCCAGGAAGCAGCAGGUUAACUGGUUGGCAGAGACAGAGGGACAGAGGGACUGUCUUCCUCCAGGAAGCAGCAGGUUAA